GCUGUCUUCAUCUUAUUCUUUUUGGAGCACACCAGCCGGAUAGCUCCGUGGAUGGUCGUGUUGCUGCAGAAGAACUGGAAUAGCUCCUGGAAUUCUUGCUUCAAGGACUUCUGCUAUAUUCGCAGUGGCUUGUGAAGACUCUGCAUGCCAUCUGAAGAGUUAGAGUUCGAGCUUAAUGCUCCUUUAAUUACAAAUUUUCCCUGCUGAAUGAGCUUCCUUCCCCACCCCUCUUCCAGCUCUUGUGUUAUUGUGUGAGAUGGCCCUGUUUCUGUUUACAUUUACCUAAACAAAACAAAACAAAACAAGCAAGUUCUAUUGA